GACGAACGCUGGCGGCGUGCUUAACACAUGCAAGUCGAGCGGAGCGGCGAACGGGUGAGUAACGCGUGAGUAACUGCCCCCCUCUCUGGGAUAACAGUUGGAAACGGCUGCUAAUACCGGAUAGUGGGGGAUGACUCGCGUCCUAUCAGCUUGUUGGUGGGGUAGUGGCCUACCAAGGCGACGACGGGUAGCCGGCCUGAGAGGGCGACCGGCCACAAUGGGCUGAGGUACCGGCCCAACUCCUUCCGGGGGGCGCAGUGGGGAAUAUUGCACAAUGGGGGAAACCCUGAAGGAGGAACCCGGGGGCGGGAUGACGGCCUUCGGGUUGUAAACCGCUUUCAGCCAUGACGCGGUAGUGGCAGAAGAAGCACCGGCUAACUACGUGCCAGCAGCCGCGGUAAUUC
rnacentral:rRNA from 1 species